GACAGAGGGUGCGAACGUUGUCCGGAAUUAUUGGGCGUAAAGAGCUCGUAGGCGGUCUGUCGCGUCGGAUGUGAAAACUCGGGGCUCAACCCCGAGCCUGCAUUCGAUACGGGCAGACUAGAGUUCGGUAGGGGAGACUGGAAUUCCUGGUGUAGCGGUGAAAUGCGCAGAUAUCAGGAGGAACACCGGUGGCGAAGGCGGGUCUCUGGGCCGAUACUGACGCUGAGGAGCGAAAGCGUGGGGAGCGAACAGG
rnacentral:rRNA from 1 species